rnacentral:rRNA from 1 species
GACGAACGCUGGCGGCGUGCUUAACACAUGCAAGUCGAACGGAAAGGCCCCUUUGGGGGUACUCGAGUGGCGAACGGGUGAGUAACACGUGAGUAACCUGCCCUUGACUUCGGGAUAACUUCAGGAAACUGGGGCUAAUACCGGAUAGGAAUCCUUGCUGCAUGGUGGGGGUUGGAAAGCUUCGGCGGUUUUGGAUGGACUCGCGGCUUAUCAGCUUGUUGGUGGGGUAGUGGCUUACCAAGGCUUUGACGGGUAGCCGGCCUGGGAGGGCGACCGGCCACAUUGGGACUGAGAUACGGCGCAGACUCCUACGGGAGGCAGCAGUGGGGAAUAUUGCACAGUGGGCGGAAGCCUGAUGCAGCAACGCCGCGUGCGGGAUGACGGCCUUCGGGUUGUAAACCGCUUUCAGCAGGGGCGAAGCUUUUGUGACGGUACCUGCAGAAGAAGCACCGGCUAACUACGUG